rnacentral:lncRNA from 1 species
GGGGGGGGGUAUACUGUUUUACCUCUGUCUGUCCUUCCGUCAGUCCGUCCGUCCGUCCGUCCCAGAAUAUUUUUCGUCGCAUUUUUCUCGCAUUUUCUCAGGAACUACUACAAUACAAGGAUUUCUGAAAUUUGGUUUCAGGGUUUAUCUAAGUCAGCUAUACCGUGUGAUGCGUUUUCAGAUUGAUCACUUGACAACUUCCUGUUUACCGAACACUUGUAUGAUUUUACACAUGAUAGCCAAGUUGAAAAUUUUCGUCACAUUUUUCUCAGGAACUACAAUACAAGGAUUUCUGAAAUUUGGUUUCAGGAUUUAUAUAAGUCAGCUAUACCGUGUGAUGCGUUUUCAGAUUCAUCACUCGACAACUUCCUGUUUACCGAACACUUGCAUAUUUUUACACUAUUAAUAUUAUCCACUUGCGGCGGGGGUAUCAUCAGUGAGCAGUAGCUCGCAGUUUCACUUGUUUUAACAUUCCCCGGAC